rnacentral:misc_RNA from 1 species
AAGGAGACUGAAGCUGGAUCAAAAUCUGAUGAGCUAACUAAAACAGCGGGUGAUCAGAGUAAAUCAGCUCUAGGAUCAAAAGAGAAGGAAAACGAAUCCAAACCAUCCCGAGUGAGAACCUUUGCUAAUGGGUUGGUUAUUGAGGACGUAGCCAUGGGUAAACCAGAUGGUAAAAGAGCUUCACCCGGAAACCUGGUUAGUGUUCACUACAUUGGCAAGCUAAAGAACGGCAAAAUAUUUGAUAGUAAUGUUGGAAGGGCACCAUUCAAAUUCCGCUUAGGUGUGGGACAGGUUAUUAAGGGAUGGGAUGUCGGGAUUAAUGGUAUGCGAAUUGGGGAUAAAAGGAGAU